rnacentral:RNase_P_RNA from 1 species
UGAGUACCUCGGGUAGCCGCAGCAACCUCGUUGAGGGCGUUGAGGAAGGUCGGGGCUCCGCAGGGCAGGAUGCUGACGAGAGUCAGGUGGGGGUGACCUCACAGUUAGUGCAACAGAGAACAAACCGCCGAUGGCCUGCUUGCAGGCACAGGCAAGGCUGAAACGGUGCGGUAAGAGCGCACCAGCGUAGUGGGUGACCAUUGCGGCUUGGCAGCCUCAUCCGGAGCAAGGCCAAGUAGUGAGUUGGGUUGCCCGCCCGAUGCCUCGGCAUCACUCACAGGUAGGCCGCAUAGAUGGAUGGUUACCGAACCGGAGCUCCGCAAGGAACCGGGGAACAGAACCCCGCCUAUAGAGGGACUCACCAG